UACAGAGGUCUCGAGCGUUAGGCGGAAUCACUGGGCUUAAAGCGUGUGUAGGCGGAUCGGUAAGUACCUUGUGAAAUCCCACAGCUUAAUUGUGGAACUGCUUGGUAUACUGCCAGUCUUGAGCCACUUAGGGGCUACCGGAACAAAUGGUGGAGCGGUGAAAUGCGUAGAUAUCAUUUGGAACGCCAAUGGUGAAAACAGGUAGCUGGGAGUGUGCUGACGCUGAGACACGAAAGCCAGGGGAGCAAACGGG
rnacentral:rRNA from 1 species